rnacentral:tRNA from 2 species
GGAGAGAUGGCCGAGUGGUUGAAGGCGCACGCUUGGAAAGCGUGUAUAGGGGAAACUCUAUCGUGGGUUCGAAUCCCACUCUCUCCGCCA